AUUCCAGCUCCAAUAGCGUAUAUUUAAGUUGUUGCAGUUAAAAAGCUCGUAGUUGGAUUUCGGGUUGGCUUCAGCGGUCUCGCUUUGCGUUUGUACUGCUGCAGCCUUCCUUCUUGUCGGGGACGGGCCUACGGGCUUAAUUGCUUGGGGCCCGGAGUCGACGAUGUUACUUUGAGUAAAUUAGAGUGUUCAAAGCAAGCCUACGCUCUGAAUAUAAUAGCAUGGGAUAACACGACAGGACUCUGGCCUAUCGUGUUGGUCUGUAGGACCGGAGUAAUGAUUAAGAGGGACAGUCGGGGGCAUUCGUAUUCCAUUGUCAGAGGUGAAAUUCUUGGAUUUAUGGAAGACGAACAUCUGCGAAAGCAUUUGUCAAGGAUGUUUUCAUUA
rnacentral:rRNA from 1 species